GCUCAGACGUAACCCCAGACAGACCAUUCAACACCCUGUCCGCCAGAGUAUUACAAGUGAAAAACUUAAAACUCAAAGGACUUGACGGCACUCCACACCCCUAGAGGAGCCUGUCCUAUAAUCGAUACCCCACGCUAAACCUUACCUGCCCACGCCCAACAGCCUAUAUACCGCCGUCCCAAGCCCGCCUCACAAGAGCCCCAGCGAGCCAGCAAGCCGCUCAAACGUCAGGUCAAGGUGUAGCUUAUGGGCAGGAAGAGAUGGGCUACAUUUUCUAAACCCAGAAAAACCCCCAGCACCGUGAAACCAAUGCCAAAAGGAGGAUUUAGAAGUAAGUUAGGCAAGAUGCCUGACUGAACCCCACCCUGGAGUGAGU
rnacentral:rRNA from 1 species